AUUGAACGCUGGCGGCAUGCCUUACACAUGCAAGUCGAACGGCAGCGCGGGAGCAAUCCUGGCGGCGAGUGGCGAACGGGUGAGUAAUACAUCUGAACGUGCCCAAUCGCGGGGGAUAACGCAGCGAAAGCUGUGCUAAUACCGCAUACGAUCUACGGAUGAAAGCAGGGGAUCGCAAGACCUUGCGCGAAUGGAGCGGCCGAUGGCAGAUUAGGUAGUUGGUGAGGUAAAGGCUCACCAAGCCUUCGAUCUGUAGCUGGUCUAAGAGGACGACCAGCCACACUGGGGAUGAGACACGGCCCAGACUCCUACGGGAGGCAGCGGUGGGGAAUUUUGGACAAUGGGCGAAAGCCUGAUCCAGCCAUGCCGCGUGCAGGAUGAAGGCCUUCGGGUUGUAAACUGCUUUUGUACGGAACGAAACGGUCUUUUCUAAUAAAGAAGGCUAAUGACGGAACCGUAAGAAUAAGCACCGGCUAACUACGU
rnacentral:rRNA from 1 species